rnacentral:rRNA from 1 species
UGGGGAAUAUUGCACAAUGGACGAAAGUCUGACGGAGCAACGCCGCGUGAGUGAAGACGGCCUUCGGGUUGUAAAGCUCUGUGAUCCGGGACGAAAGAGCCUGAGGUAAAUAGCCUAAGGAAGUGACGGUACCGGAAAAGCAAGCCACGGCUAACUACGUGCCAGCAGCCGCGGUAAUACGUAGGUGGCAAGCGUUGUCCGGAAUUAUUGGGCGUAAAGCGCGCGCAGGCGGCUUACUAAGUCCAUCUUAAAAGUGCGGGGCUUAACCCCGUGAUGGGAUGGAAACUGGAAAGCUGGAGUAUCGGAGAGGAAAGUGGAAUUCCUAGUGUAGCGGUGAAAUGCGUAGAGAUUAGGAAGAACACCGGUGGCGAAGGCGAAUUUCUGGACGAAAACUGACGCUAAGGCGCGAAAGCGUGGGGAGCAAACAGG